GAAAGUCACGGCUAACUACGUGCCAGCAGCCGCGGUAAUACGUAGGUGGCAAGCGUUAUCCGGAUUUAUUGGGCGUAAAGAGAGUGCAGGCGGUUUUCUAAGUCUGAUGUGAAAGACCUUCGGCUUAACCGGAGAAAGUAGCAUCGGAAACUAGGAUAACUUAGAGUGCAGAAGAGGGUAGUGGAACUCCAUGUGUAGCGGUGGAAUGCGUAGAUAUAUGGAAGAACACCAGUGGCGAAGGCGGCUACCUGGUCUGCAACUGACGCUGAGACUCGAAAGCAUGGGUAGCGAACAGGAUUAGAUACCCUGGUAG
rnacentral:rRNA from 1 species